ACAACAACUCUUAUGGCCGGUUGUGCUUAUCGGGCCGCUCAACUUACGGUGCACGCGCCGCAGUGACGGGAAGCCGGUGAGAAUCCGGCGCGGUCCUCGCCACUGUGACCGGGAAGCGAUCCCCGCCGAGCACGUCACUGGUCCCCGCCGGGACUGGGAAGACGCGGGGGCAGCGUUGAUCCGGAAGUCAGGAGACCGGCUGCGGCGCCGCAAGGAGAGUU
rnacentral:ncRNA from 14 species